rnacentral:rRNA from 1 species
GACGUAGGGCGCGAGCGUUGUCCGGAUUUAUUGGGCGUAAAGAGCUCGUAGGCGGCUUGUCGCGUCGGAUGUGAAAGCCCCGGGGCUUAACUCCGGGUCUGCAUUCGAUACGGGCAGGCUAGAGUGUGGUAGGGGAGAUCGGAAUUCCUGGUGUAGCGGUGAAAUGCGCAGAUAUCAGGAGGAAGCCGCUGGCGGCAAGGCGGAUCUCUGGGCCAUUACUGACGCUGAGGAGCGAAAGCGUGGGGAGCGAACAGG